UACGUAGGGGGCGAGCGUUGUCCGGAUUUAUUGGGCGUAAAGAGCGUGUAGGCGGCCAGGUAGGUCUGCUGUGAAAACUCGAGGCUCAACCUCGAGACGUCGGUUGAAACCGUAAGGCUAGAGUCCGGAAGAGGAGAGUGGAAUUCCCGGUGUAGCGGUGAAAUGCGCAGAUAUCGGGAAGAACACCCGUGGCGAAGGCGGCUCUCUGGGACGGUACUGACGCUGAGACGCGAAAGCGUGGGGAGCGAACAGG
rnacentral:rRNA from 1 species